UCUGUCACUGUGGCAGAGGGAGACCGAGCCGAGAGCGAACGUACUGCUGAGCUUGAUACAGCUUGAGCUGUGAACGAACGAAGGAAGACCCGUUCAGAGAC